GGGGGCGUUUAGAUUCGACAGGGUUGUUGGGUCAUGGGCUGCAGGUCGAGGUCGCUUAGUUCCUCGUAAAAAAGCAGAGCAAAAUACAGAUGCAAAUAACAUCGUAAAAUUCCCAGCCCAGCGCGUUGCGCUGGCUGCCUAACUAAUAACUUAGGUUUGCUGGACUCGAUAAGAGCUUGACCACCCGCACUUAUUGGGUCAACCACGGUGGUUGCCACCAGGCAAAAUUAGCGAUUGAUAGCCUGGUCUAAGACAUAAUCACAAUCCCGGAUGGCUGUUUGGGCCUCUACCAGCGGAUCGGAAACGGUGACUGGGAAAAUAUCAAACUAAACUUGUAGAUGCUUAUGUCACGGCUUCUUUGGACGCGAGUGCGAUUCUCGCCGCCUCCACCA
rnacentral:tmRNA from 1 species